AAUCCAUGAUGUGGGCAGUCGGUCUCUCAGUAUUCCCUUAAAUCUAUCCCAAGCUUUAUAAAGAGAUUCAGAGUCUGUUUGCUUGAAGCUUGCAAUAAUAUUGCGGAGGUG